AGGGUCUUAGUUAAUAAUAAUAUUGGUCUGUCAGUCCACAAGUUGCGGAAAGUCUAUGUCCGCAGUCCCUU
rnacentral:tRNA from 1 species